rnacentral:rRNA from 2 species
AAUCCAUAGGUUAAUGAGGCGAACCGGGGGAACUGAAACAUCUAAGUACCCCGAGGAAAAGAAAUCAACCGAGAUUCCCCCAGUAGCGGCGAGCGAACGGGGAGGAGCCCAGAGCCUGAAUCAGCAUGUGUGUUAGUGGAAGCGUCUGGAAAGGCGCGCGAUACAGGGUGACAGCCCCGUACACAAAAGCGCAUGUGCUGUGAGCUCGAUGAGUAGGGCGGGACACGUGGUAUCCUGUCUGAAUAUGGGGGGACCAUCCUCCAAGGCUAAAUACUCCUGACUGACCGAUAGUGAACCAGUACCGUGAGGGAAAGGCGAAAAGAACCCCGGCGAGGGGAGUGAAAAAGAACCUGAAACCGUGUACGUACAAGCAGUGGGAGCACCCUUUGGGGUGUGACUGCGUACCUUUUGUAUAAUGGGUCAGCGACUUAU